rnacentral:misc_RNA from 1 species
UUUUUUCUCUUCCCGAUCCCUUUGAGACAAGAAAUGCUAUUGGGGAGUUGGAUGAGCUUUACAAGCCCUUUUUCCCCAAAUCUAAUCAAUAUCUUUAUUCUCCACAACCACAACCUGCCCCCAUUUCUUCUCUUGCCGUCUCUAAGGAACAAACGCAGAUAAAGCAGCCCAAGCAAUCUCAUGCAGCCUCCGUCUCCACUGCAAAUUCUCAUACUCCUCGAUCUAAAAGAAGGAAGAACCAGCUAAAGAAGAUAUGCCAAGUACCAGCAGAGUCUCUUUCUUCAGAUGUGUGGGCAUGGCGAAAAUACGGGCAAAAACCCAUCAAAGGCUCUCCAUACCCGAGGAGUUAUUACAGAUGUAGCACCUCAAAGGGGUGUUUGGCCAGGAAACAAGUUGAACGAAACAGAUCCGACCCGGGAAUGUUCAUAGUAAGCUACACAGGCGAGCACAACCACCCUGCACCCACCCACCGAAACUCGCUCGCUGGUAGUCCCCGCCAGAAGUCC